ACAUUUCUACUCCCUGAUGAAGCAAAGAGAAUCUCUGGGGGCCAAGAAGCAUGACUUUGCCAUCAUCCGAGUAGAGGAACUCUGCCCCUUCCCGUUGGAUUCUUUACAGCAAGAGAUGAGCAAAUACAAACAUGUUAAAGAUCAUAUUUGGAGUCAGGAAGAACCUCAGAACAUGGGUCCGUGGUUAUUUGUUUCUCCAAGGUUUGAAAAGCAGCUGGCCUGCAAGGUAAUCACACGUUUUCUCUGGUAGUGUUUUGUGUUUUGUGUGCAUGUUGUUUUUCUUUUCUUUCUUUUUUUUUUUUUUUUGAGACAGA
rnacentral:sRNA from 1 species